CAGAGUCUCACCAUUUGUAAAAUUAAUCUUUCUCUUAAUCAAUUGAUUAUCAAAACCGUCUUCAAUACAAUGUAAACAUUCGAUUAUCGAAUGCUAUCAUGGUAUCAGACUCAGAAAUCACGAAUUUCUGAGGGUAUCGAUCCAUUUUUCGUUGUAGCAACAUUAAUUCUCUUUAAUUCAAUUUCAUCUGCUGCUGUUCUUCAUUAAACUCUGCUUGCUCUUCAUACAAAUCUAUAGUUGUUCUUCAUCUUACACAGAAUUAAAAUCUCAGAUCUAGAUUUUCUUACAUCAACAUCUUCCAAAUUCAUCUUCAACAUAAGUUUUUCAUCAUAAUUAGGUUGUUUUAUGCAAUAUAAUUUUAAUCAAGGUUGUUGUUCUUGAUUCUUGAUACCGAGAGAGUCUGAGCGUGUUCUAGCUCGCUACACCUAGGUCUAGUUAGGGAAAAAACUUAAAGUCGUUCCACUGAUUGGAUUCAGCAGAAGAUUGAUAAGUUGUUGGUCUCAAUUCUUAUUUCAAGAACAAGGUGUUGAAGAAUCUUGUGUUUCUAAUGAUGUUUCUGAAUUGAGUUUCGUGUUGGAGUGGUGAUGAUUCAAAAGAUAUUACAUUGUUCUUCUAGCUGCUGCAUUAUACAAAUGGUUAUUGUACAGGAUAUGCACUGCACCUAUUUUUAGAUGAGUUUUCAGCUUACUUUUGUGCAAGUUCUUCUCAGCAUACAGUCGUAUGAAGAUUCUGUACACAACAUACAAAGAAUAUACAUUGCAGGGGACUAUCGGGUUGUGAGUGAUAGAAUGCAAUAAAGUGGAAUAAAUCAAUGGACUAUCUUGAUGCUUGCUAGGGAGUGUGUGAAAGCAUAUUGGUAUUUCUUUCUUAUUGAGUAGUGCAGGGAGAAGAGACUGAAUUUUGCUGAGAGAAUUUUACUGCCAGUCUGUUAUGUCAUUGUUUCUGCUGCUUAAUACAGCUUUACAUCAACAGUUUGUUGGAAACUAUUAUUAUGGCUGCAAUUUUUUAUACUAUGAGAAUUCUUAUUAUGCCUAUCAUGCUCCUCCUCCUGUUGGUAGUCAGAGACAUGCUCAUCAUUGUGAUUAUGGGUACAGAGAUAAGGGACAACUUUACUCCAGCAGAAUAUACAAUGGACUGUACACUCACUAUAUCACGCCUUAUGCCUCCUGUACAAUAUGGUAUUUCUACACUCACUGUAACUACUAUCUUUUCCUUUAAUACUUGGCUCUCCAAAUCAACAUCAACUGCUAGCAUGUUAUACUAUAUGAUGCCUGGAUAUCUACGUCAACAACUUCUACUGUUGCUGCCUGCUUACUUCUGUUUUACCAUAUCACUUGCGCACGUCUCAUCUGAAAUGUUAUGCUUCAAGUUACUUAGUGGACAACUCAAGUACCAGCUAAUGCUUCUACCAAGAUUUUCGAGCUUUUGCUGGUUACAACUGUUCUUGUUCUACUGUUGCAUCUCCAUGGCUAGAUCCCCAACUACUGCAUGUUCUACAUCCGCUAUGUGUACCUCUAUACCUUUCUAUUUGGUUAAGUAGAUGUGUGUGUGUGCUGAGCUGUGUGUGUAUGAAAUCUCAAGUGGUUUUUCCAGCCCCCUUAAGAUUGAGGGAGGGUAAUAGGAUAGGUAACUGUGUGUGUGCGCUAAGCUGUGAGUGUAUGGUUAUUACGAGAGAUUGUAAACGUGUGAACGUCUUCAAUACAAUGUAGACAUUCGAUUAUCGAAUGCUAUCAGAAUUCAGAACAUGGGCGUUUUUUGGGAGAUUAGUUUCGCCUAACUUGGGUACUUGUUUGGGAAGACAGUAGGAUACAAGAUGUGCAAUUUUUAAAUA